GAUGAAGAACGCAGUGAAAUGCGAUAAGUAAUGUGAAUUGCAGAAUUCAGUGAAUCAUCGAAUCUUUGAACGCACAUUGCGCCCGUCAGUAUUCUGGCGGGCAUGCCUGUUCGAGCGUCAUUACGCCCCUCAAGUCCCCUGUGGACUUGGUGUUGGGGAUCGGCGAGGCUGGUUUUCCAGCACAGCCGUCCCUUAAAUUAAUUGGCGGUCUCGCCGUGGCCCUCCUCUGCGCAGUAGUAAAACACUCGCAACAGGAGCCCGGCGCGGUCCACUGCCGUAAAACCCCCCAACUUUUUAUAGUUGACCUCGAAUCAGGUAGGACUACCCGCUGAACUUAAGCAUAUCAUAAGCGGAGGA
rnacentral:misc_RNA from 1 species